rnacentral:rRNA from 1 species
UACGUAGGCGGCCCAUUAAGUCAGAUGUGAAAGCCCGGAGCUCAACUCCGGGAUUGCAUUUGAAACUGGUGGGCUAGAGUACAGGAGAGGAAAGUGGAAUUCCUAGUGUAGCGGUGAAAUGCGUAGAUAUUAGGAAGAACACCAGUGGCGAAGGCGGCUUUCUGGACUGUAACUGACGCUGAGGUACGAAAGCGUGGGGAGCGAACA